UUUCCAUAUAGUUUAACAUAAGAAUAAGAUUUUGAAGAAGUCAAGGAAGUUUACACUUUUGGAA
rnacentral:tRNA from 1 species